rnacentral:rRNA from 1 species
GUGAACCUACGGGGCGCAGCAGUGGGGAAUAUUGCACAAUGGGGGAAACCCUGAUGCAGCGACGCCGCGUGAAUGAAGAAGUGCCCCGGCACGUAAAGCUCUAUCAGCAGGGAAGAAAAUGACGGUACCUGACCAAGAAGCCCCGGCUAACUACGUGCCAGCAGCAGCGGUAAUACGUAGGGGGCAAGCGUUAUCCGGUUUUACUGGGUGUAAAGGGAGCGUAGACGGCAGCGCAAGUC